AAGUGGGUCUUUGGAGAUGAAGUCAGUCACUGAUCCCGGACGAGCCCCCAAAUGAAAGACCCCUGGAUCAGGAGACCCUCACUCAAGUCUCUGGAUGACACAACCCCCCAAGAAUUCACACAAGACC
rnacentral:pre_miRNA from 14 species